rnacentral:lncRNA from 1 species
UUCCAUUGUAGUAAGUUCUACAACAGAGAAAAUUUCGGAAAUUGAAGUCUCACAGGCAGCUUAUAAUAUAGUACACUUUUACAAUACCAAACAGCCAAUAAUCACAGCCUUUACCACCGGAGGGUCUGAUCAGUGCAAGGAUGAUAUUAUGACGAUAUUACUGCGAAUGAUACUUACUUUCUAAGAGGUUUCAAAGGGAAAUGGUACCUCCUACUCUUAUGCACGGCAUGUUUUGGGAGCAAACUGACGUCAAUUCCGAUGGAGUCUAUAAUGCGAUGAACGUAACAUCAACUAAUGAUACCCAGUUUCCAACAGCAAAAUGGGUUCCAUGGAACAGCACCGAGGUGUUACUUUUUGCAUCCAGCGACUAUAUCUGUGGUUUGUUUCGCGUCGAUCUGUUCACCAAUGAUUCAACAUUUUACGAUGUCCGAGUGUGGAACGACCAGAACAUGACCAGUACAAUGCAGAUCUGCUUGGAAUACUUAAAAACAAAUUUAAGUCAAACAAAUAUUACGAACUGUACGCUUUUCGGAUAACACAUUGGCAACAGCGUUUUGUACAACGCGUACAACUCGUAAUAAAGUGAAUUACU